rnacentral:rRNA from 1 species
AUCGAACGCUGGCGGCAGGCCUAACACAUGCAAGUCGAACGAGUGGCGGAAGGGUGGGUAAUGUCUGUGCAACUGCCCGAAGGAGGGGGUUAACUAAUGGAAAAGAUAGCUAAUCCCGCAUACCAUCAGAUGUGCCCAGCUGGGAUUAGCCAGUGGGUGGGGUAACGGCUCACCAAGGCGACGAUCCCUAGCUGAUCGGAGAGGAUGACCAGCCACACGGGAACGGAGACACGGUCCGGACUCGUACGGGAGGCAGCAGUGGGGAAUAUUGCACAAUGGGCGCAAGCCUGAUGCAGACAUGCCGCGUGUAUGAAGAAGGCCUUCGGGUUGUAAAGGACUUUCAGCGGGGAGGCGUUACCCGCAGAAGAAGCACCGGCUAACUCCGUGCCAGCAGCCGCGGUAAUUC